UAGGGAAUCUUCCGCAAUGGGCGAAAGCUUGACGGAGCAACGCCGCGUGAGUGAUGAAGGUCUUCGGAUCGUAAAACUCUGUUAUUAGGGAAGAACAAAUGUGUAAGUAACUAUGCACGUCUUGACGGUACCUAAUCAGAAAGCCACGGCUAACUACGUGCCAGCAGCCGCGGUAAUACGUAGGUGGCAAGCGUUAUCCGGAAUUAUUGGGCGUAAAGCGCGCGUAGGCGGUUUUUUAAGUCUGAUGUGAAAGCCCACGGCUCAACCGUGGAGGGUCAUUGGAAACUGGAAAACUUGAGUGCAGAAGAGGAAAGUGGAAUUCCAUGUGUAGCGGUGAAAUGCGCAGAGAUAUGGAGGAACACCAGUGGCGAAGGCGACUUUCUGGUCUGUAACUGACGCCGAUGUGCGAAAGCGUGGGGAUCAAACAGG
rnacentral:rRNA from 1 species